rnacentral:rRNA from 1 species
GGCGAGUACUGGAUUCAACCGAGCCUUUCCUCCUGGCUAACUAGUUUCCCUUGUGGAGGCUAGCGAACCAGGACUUUUACUUUGAGAAAAUUAGAGUGUUCAAAGCAGGCAUUUGCUUGAAUAUAUUAGCAUGGAAUAAUAGAAUAGGACGUUAUGGUUCUAUUUUGUUGGUUUCUAGGACCAUCGUAAUGAUUAAUAGGGACGGUCGGGGGCAUCAGUAUUCAGUUGUCAGAGGUGAAAUUCUUGGAUUUACUGAAGACUAACUACUGCGAAAGCAUUUGCCAAGGACGUUUUCAUUAAUCAAGAACGAAAGUUAGGGGAUCGAAGAUGAUCAGAUACCGUCGUAGUCUUAACCAUAAACUAUGCCGACUAGGGAUCGGACGAUGUUAUUUCUUGACGCGUUCGGCACCUUACGAGAAAUCAAAGUUUUUGGGUUCUGGGGGGAGUAUGGUCGCAAGGCUGAAACUUAAAGGAAUUGACGGAAGGGCACCACCAGGAGUGGAGCCUGCGGCUUAAUUUGACUCAACACGGGGAAACUCACCAGGUCCAGACACAAUAAGGAUUGACAGAUUGAGAGCUCUUUCUUGAUUUUGUGGGUGGUGGUGCAUGGCCGUUCUUAGUUGGUGGAGUGAUUUGUCUGCUUAAUUGCGAUAACGAACGAGACCUUAACCUACUAAAUAGUGCUGCUAGCUUUUGCUGGUAUAGUCACUUCUUAGAGGGACUAUCGA